GAUGAACGCUGGCGGCGUGCUUAACACAUGCAAGUCGAACGAACCUUCGGGUUAGUGGCGGACGGGUGAGUAACGCGUGAGAAUCUGCCCUCAGGAGGGGGAUAACGGUUGGAAACGACCGCUAAUACCCCAUAUGCCGAUAGGUGAAAUGAAUUUCGCCUGAGGAUGAGCUCGCGUCUGAUUAGCUUGUUGGUGAGGUAAAGGCUCACCAAGGCUUCGAUCAGUAGCUGGUCUGAGAGGAUGAUCAGCCACACUGGGACUGAGACACGGCCCAGACUCCUACGGGAGGCAGCAGUGGGGAAUUUUCCGCAAUGGGCGAAAGCCUGACGGAGCAACGCCGCGUGAGGGGCGAAGGCCUCUGGGCUGUAAACCUCUUUUCUCAAGGAAGAAGAUAUGACGGUACUUGAGGAAUAAGCCACGGCUAAUUCCGUGCCAGCAGCCGCGGUAAUACGGGAGUGGCAAGCGUUAUCCGGAAUUAUUGGGCGUAAAGCGUCCGCAGGCGGCCUUUCAAGUCUGCUGUUAAAGCGUGGAGCUUAACUCCAUUAUGGCAGUGGAAACUGAUAGGCUUGAGUAUGGUAGGGGCAGAGGGAAUUCCCGGUGUAGCGGUGAAAUGCGUAGAUAUCGGGAAGAACACCAGUGGCGAAGGCGCUCUGCUGGGCCAUUACUGACGCUCAUGGACGAAAGCCAGGGGAGCGAAAGGGAUUAGAUACCCCUGUAGUCCUGGCCGUAAACGAUGAACACUAGGUGUCGGGGGAAUCGACCCCUUCGGUGUCGUAGCUAACGCGUUAAGUGUUCCGCCUGGGGAGUACGCACGCAAGUGUGAAACUCAAAGGAAUUGACGGGGGCCCGCACAAGCGGUGGAGUAUGUGGUUUAAUUCGAUGCAACGCGAAGAACCUUACCAGGGUUUGACAUCCUGAGAACCUCUUAGAAAUUUGAGGGUGCCUUCGGGAAUUCAGUGACAGGUGGUGCAUGGCUGUCGUCAGCUCGUGUCGUGAGAUGUUGGGUUAAGUCCCGCAACGAGCGCAACCCACGUUUUUAGUUGCCAGCAUUUAGUUGGGCACUCUAGAAAGACCGCCGGUGAUAAACCGGAGGAAGGUGUGGAUGACGUCAAGUCAUCAUGCCCCUUACACCCUGGGCUACACACGUACUACAAUGCUACGGACAAAGGGCAGCAAACUCGCGAGAGCUAGCAAAUCCCAUAAACCGUGGCUCAGUUCAGAUCGUAGGCUGCAACUCGCCUACGUGAAGUAGGAAUCGCUAGUAAUCGCAGGUCAGCAUACUGCGGUGAAUACGUUCCCGGGCCUUGUACUCACCGCCCGUC
rnacentral:rRNA from 1 species